rnacentral:rRNA from 1 species
UUGCUCUCGGAUGUUAUGCGGCGGACGGGUGAGUGACACGUGGGAAAAAGGCAAGUAUUGACUGGGAUAACUCCGGGAAACCGGAUCUAAUACCGGAUAGUUCCUUGAACCGGAGGGUUCAAGGAUGAAAGACGGUUUCGGCUGUCACUUACAGAUGGACCCGCGGCGCAUUAGCUAGUUGGUGAGGUAACGGCUCGCCACGGCGACGAUGCGUAGCCGACCUGAGAGGGUGAUCGGCCACACUGGGACUGAGACCCGGCCCAUACUCCUGCGGGAGGCGGCAGUAGGGAAUCUUCCGCAAUGGACCAAAGUCUGACGGACCAACGCCGCGUGAGUGAUGAAGGUUUUCGGAUCCCAAAGCUCUGUUGUUAGGGAAGAACAAGUGCAAGACUAACUGCUUUCACCUUGACGGUACCUAACCACAAAAGCCUCUGUUAACUACGUGCCCGCAGCCGCGGUAAUACGGGGGUGGCAAUUGUUGACAAGAAUUAUUGGGCGCCUAAGGGCUUGCGGGCGUUUUCUUAAAUUUGAUUGUUGAUAAGCCCCCCCGGCCUUCACACCGGGGGGAGGGGUCCAUCUGGGAAACUUGGGAAAAUUUUGAUGUGCCAAAAAAAAGGAGAGUGGAA